AUUGAACGCUGGCGGCAGGCCUAACACAUGCAAGUCGAACGAGAGGCGGACGGGUGAGUAAUGUCUGGGAAACUGCCCGAUGGGGGGGGAUAAAUAAUGGAAACGGGAGCUAAUACCGCAUACCAUCGGAUGUGCCCAUAUGGGAUUAGCUAGUAGGGGGGGUAACGGCUAAACCAGGCGACGAUCCCUAGCUGGUCUGAGAGGAUGGCCAGCCACACUGGAACUGAGACACGGUCCAGACUCCGACGGGAGGCAGCAGUGGGUAAUAUUGCACAAUGGGCGCAAGCCUGAUGCAGCCAUGCCGCGUGUAUGAAGAAGGCCUUCGGGUUGUAAAGUACUUUCAGCGAGGAGGCGUUACUCGCAGAAGAAGCACCGGCUAACUCCGUGCCAGCAGCGGCGGUAAUUC
rnacentral:rRNA from 1 species